ACUCCAAUGGCCUAAUGGUUAGAGCUUCCGCUUUGGAUGCGGGAGGUCGUGGGUUCGAUCUCGUGUCGAGUC